rnacentral:rRNA from 1 species
AUACAGAGGGUGCAAGCGUUAAUCGGAAUUACUGGGCGUAAAGCGCGCGUAGGCGGUUUAAUCAGUCGGAUGUGAAAGCCCCGGGCUCAACCUGGGAACUGCAUUCGAUACUGUUAAGCUAGAGUAUGGUAGAGGGAAGUGGAAUUCCAGGUGUAGCGGUGAAAUGCGUAGAUAUCUGGAGGAACAUCAGUGGCGAAGGCGACUUCCUGGACCAAUACUGACGCUGAGGUGCGGAAGCGUGGGGAGCAAACAGGAUUAGAAACCCUAGUAGUCC